rnacentral:rRNA from 1 species
UACGGGGGGAGCAAGCGUUGUUCGGAUUUACUGGGCGUAAAGGGCGCGUAGGCGGCCAGCACAAGUCAGUUGUGAAAUCUCCGGGCUUAACUCGGAAGGGUCAACUGAUACUGUGCGGCUAGAGUGCAGAAGGGGCAACUGGAAUUCUCGGUGUAGCGGUGAAAUGCGUAGAUAUCGAGAGGAACACCUGCGGCGAAGGCGGGUUGCUGGGCUGACACUGACGCUGAUGCGCGAAAGCCAGGGGAGCGAACGGG